rnacentral:rRNA from 1 species
AAACCAACAGGGAUUGCCUCAGUAACGGCGAGUGAAGCGGCAACAGCUCAAAUUUGAAAUCUGGCCGCAAGGUCCGAGUUGUAAUUUGUAGAGGAUGUUUUGGGCACCGCCGUGGGUUAAAUUUCUUGGAACAGAAUGUCAAAGAGGGUGAGAGUCCCGUCUUGGCCCGCGGUAGGACCUAUGUAAAACUCCUUCGACGAGUCGACUUGUUUGGGAAUGCAGGUCAAAAUGGGUGGUAAAUUUCAUCUAAAGCUAAAUAUUGGCCAGAGACCGAUAGCGCACAAGUAGAGUGAUCGAAAGAUGAAAAGCACUUUGAAAAGAGAGUUAAACAGUAUGUGAAAUUGUUGAAAGGGAAGCGCUGGCAACCAGACUCGAGCGCGGUGUUCCCCCUGGCUUCUGCCUGGGUUAUUUCACCGUGACCGGGCCAUCAUCAGUUUUGAGGGCUGGUUAAAGACUCAGGGAAUGUAUCCACUCCUUCGGGGGUGGACUUAUAGCCCUGGGUGUCAUGCAGCCUCUUGGGACUGAGGAACGCGCUUCGGCGAGGAUGAUGGCGUAAUGGUUGUCAGCGAC